UACGGAGGGGGCUAGCGUUGUUCGGAAUUACUGGGCGUAAAGCGCGCGUAGGCGGACCUGCAAGUCGGGGGUGAAAGCCCGAGGCUCAACCUCGGAACUGCCUUCGAUACUGCGGGUCUCGAGUCCGGGAGAGGUGAGUGGAAUUCCUAGUGUAGAGGUGAAAUUCGUAGAUAUUAGGAAGAACACCAGUGGCGAAGGCGGCUCACUGGCCCGGUACUGACGCUGAGGCGGCGGAAAGCGUGGGGAGCAAACAGG
rnacentral:rRNA from 1 species